rnacentral:lncRNA from 1 species
AACCAAUUCCUCACGCCAAAAUUCUACAUCAUUAUUACCAUAUCCCCUGUGAUUGGUUUUGAUCAUUACUAACCAAUAAUCAAUCAACGAACCAAAAAUCUGUGGAUUCCCUAUUACUAUCAGUAAUCAUAUCCAUAGUUUCCAAUCAUCAGAAUGAAUUGGAGAAAUCAUAUUUUCUCUCAACUCUAUUUCAAAUGGAAAAUAUUUUGUUUUGAUGUAAACAAAGAUCAUACCUCUAUUUUCCUGAGAUAUCGUCUUAAUGAUGACUGAUAUCCAGAUCGGAAUCGAACGCCAUAAUCCUAGUACUUGGAUCUGUCAAUUCCAUUCUUCCCUUUGUGAGGGAGUAGCCUUCGCGAUUCCGAAAAAUAUCCCCUUGCCAAAUCUCCCUGAUUUUUUCAUAUUUCUCUGAAAUAAUCCCUCAUUUGAAGACCAACCCGAUUCUUUAUCUCCCCAUGGAUCCCUCCC